rnacentral:rRNA from 1 species
UACAGAGGGGGCAAGCGUUGUUCGGAAUUACUGGGCGUAAAGGGCGCGUAGGCGGCCUGCUAAGUCGAACGUGAAAUCCCUGGGCUCAACCCAGGAACUGCGUCCGAUACUGGUUGGCUUGAAUCCGGGAGAGGGAUGUGGAAUUCCAGGUGUAGCGGUGAAAUGCGUAGAUAUCUGGAGGAACACCGGUGGCGAAGGCGGCAUCCUGGACCGAUAUUGACGCUGAGGCGCGAAAGCCAGGGGAGCAAACGGG